rnacentral:rRNA from 1 species
GACGAACGCUGGCGGCAUGCCUAAUACAUGCAAGUCGAGCGAACAGAUGAAGUGCUUGCACUUCUGACGUUAGCGGCGAACGGGUGAGUAACACGUAAGGAAUCUACCUAUAAGCGGGGGAUAACAUUCGGAAACGGGUGCUAAUACCGCAUAAUAUCUUCUUCCGCAUGGAAGAAGAUUUAAAGACGGCUCUGCUGUCACUUAUAGAUGACCUUGCGGUGCAUUAGUUAGUUGGUGGGGUAACGGCCUACCAAGACGAUGAUGCAUAGCCGAACUGAGAGGCUGAUCGGCCACGUUGGGACUGAGACAAGUCCCAAACUCCUACGGGAGGCAGAAGUAGGGAACCUUCCGCAAUGGGCGAAAGCCUGACGGAGCAAUGCCGCGUGAGUGAAGAAGGCCUUCGGGUCGUAAAACUCUGUUAUAAGAGAAGAACAAAUUGUAGAGUAACUGCUACAGUCUUGACGGUAUCUUAUCAGAAAGCCACGGCUAACUACGUGCCAGCCGCCGCAGUAA